rnacentral:misc_RNA from 1 species
GAAAUGCGAUAAGUAAUGUGAAUUGCAGAAUUCAGUGAAUCAUCGAAUCUUUGAACGCACAUUGCGCCCUCUGGUAUUCCGGGGGGCAUGCCUGUUCGAGCGUCAUUAUAACCACUCAAGCUUUCGCUUGGUAUUGGGGUUCGCGGGUUCGCGGCCUCUAAAAUCAGUGGCGGUGCCCGUCGGCUCUACGCGUAGUAAUACUCCUCGCGAUUGAGUCCGGCAGGUCUACUUGCCAGCAAUCCCAAAUUUUUUACAGGUUGACCUCGGAUCAGGUAGGGAUACCCGCUGAACUUAA